GACGAAGGGGGCUAGCGUUGCUCGGAAUUACUGGGCGUAAAGAGCUCGUAGGUGGUUUGUCGCGUUGUUCGUGAAAACUCACAGCUCAACUGUGGGCGUGCGGGCGAUACGGGCAGACUAGAGUACUGCAGGGGAGACUGGAAUUCCUGGUGUAGCGGUGGAAUGCGCAGAUAUCAGGAGGAACACCGGUGGCGAAGGCGGGUCUCUGGGCAGUAACUGACGCUGGAGGAGCGGAAAGCGUGGGGAGCGAACAGG
rnacentral:rRNA from 1 species